GCCCCCUGAAUUGUAGUCUAGGAAGGCGCCAUCGGCCAAGCCCGUCGCUCAAAUCCCUUGGAACAGGGUAUCGGAGAAGGUGAGAAUCCUGUGCCGUGGCGGAGCUUGGCCGCACGAUGCGCUCUUGUCGAGUCGGGCUGCUUGGGAUUGCAGCUUGAAGUGGGUGGUAAAUUCCAUCUAAAGCUAAAUAUUGGCGGGAGACCGAUAGCGAACAAGUACCGUGAGGGAAAGAUGCAAAGAACUUUGAAAAGAGAGUUAAAGAGUGCUUGAAAUUGGCAGGAGGAAACCCGGUUGCGCGUGGCAUUUGGCGUGGUCGACUCAGCCGCGCGCGGAGAUCUGUAGGGGACCUAACGGCCUCGUGGUCAGCGCGCGCGGUGCACUUCGGCCGCGUCGGUCAGCCGCGUUUCUGUGCGGCCCAGACGGCCGCGGGCAGGGCUUCGGCGCAGCCUGCGGUUUGGGGGUCGCGCGGGAUCCCGGCUGAUGCGCACGGGCGCAACCGACCCGUCUAGAAACACGGACCAAGGAGUCUGACGCGUGUGCGAGUACUAGAGUGGCAAGCUCGAGUGCGCAAUGAAAGUGAAGGGCGUGCCCCGUCAACCGAUCUUGAUCUUCUGUGAAGGGUUUGAGUGGAGCACAUCUGUCGGGACCCGAAAGAUGGUGAACUAUGCCUGAGGAGGGUGAAGCCAGAGGAAACUCUGGUGGAGGCUCGUAGCGAUACUGACGUGCAAAUCGUUCGUCGAACUUGGGUAUAGGGGCGAAAGACUAAUCGAACCAUCUAGUAGCUGGUUCCCUCCGAAGUUUCCCUCAGGAUAGCUUGAGCGCCGACGGUUUUG
rnacentral:rRNA from 1 species